UACGGAGGGUGCGAGCGUUGUCCGGAAUCACUGGGCGUAAAGCGCACGUAGGCGGCUUUCUAAGUCGGGGGUGAAAUCCUGGAGCUCAACUCCAGAACUGCCUUCGAUACUGGAAAGCUCGAGUCCGGGAGAGGUGAGUGGAACUGCGAGUGUAGAGGUGAAAUUCGUAGAUAUUCGCAAGAACACCAGUGGCGAAGGCGGCUCACUGGCCCGGUACUGACGCUGAGGUGCGAAAGCGUGGGGAGCAAACAGG
rnacentral:rRNA from 1 species